GCGCUCGCUUCAGCAGCAUAUAUACUAAAUUUCGAACGAUACAGAGAUUAGCAUGGCCCCUAAGCAAGGAUGACACGCAAAUUCGCGAAGCGUUCCAUAUUUUU